AUUGAACGCUGGCGGCAUGCUUUACACAUGCAAGUCGAACGGUAGACCCUUUCGGGGGUUGAGAGUGGCGAACGGGUGAGUAAUGCAUCGGAACGUGCCUAGUCGUGGGGGAUAACGUAGCGAAAGUUACGCUAAUACCGCAUACGCACUGAGGUGGAAAGCGGGGGACCGUAAGGCCUCGCGCGAUUGGAGCGGCCGAUGUCGGAUUAGCUAGUUGGUGAGGUAAAGGCUCACCAAGGCGACGAUCCGUAGCGGGUCUGAGAGGAUGAUCCGCCACACUGGGACUGAGACACGGCCCAGACUCCUACGGGAGGCAGCAGUGGGGAAUUUUGGACAAUGGGCGCAAGCCUGAUCCAGCCAUGCCGCGUGAGUGAAGAAGGCCUCGGUUGUAAG
rnacentral:rRNA from 1 species